rnacentral:sRNA from 2 species
CGCCUAAUCCUGCCGCCGCCCGGAAUUCGAACCUAUCCACGCGUGGCAGGAGCGGGGGACCCAGGUAGUACGCCGCAUCCGGACAAUCCGGGCGGCUUGGGGUGAAGUCGCACCACGUGUGCGACCGGGCAUCUCCAGCCCGAACCCGACAGCUCACCUCGUAGGCGCCGGAGAGGAAUG